rnacentral:tRNA from 1 species
GCCGGGGUAGCUCAGUUGGUAGAGCGAGGGUAUCGUAAACCCUAGGUCGCCAGUUCAAUCCUGGCCCCCGGCU